CAUAGUGCAGUGGUUAGCAUGUCUGCUUUACAUGCAGAAGGUCCUGGGUUCAAGCCCCCCUAGUG
rnacentral:tRNA from 1 species